UUAAUUCCUUGGUAUUUAACUUGUGUUCUUGAGUGUUUUCACUAAGACAGGAACAAGGUCUGAAUCAUACCAAGAUGCAUAAAAUCAAAGGACAUUGAAUCCAUGAACUAAUUCUAAAGUUCAGAAAGUUAGUUCAGAAUGUUGAUCAGAAAGUUGAUCAGAACGUUCUGAUGAGAGCUCAGAAGCAACCCUGUUCAGAAGCAACCUUGCUCAGAAGCAACCCUGUUCAGAAGCAACCUUGCUCAGAAGCAACCCUGUUCAGAAGCAACCUUGCUCAGAAGCAACCCUGUUCAGAAGCAACCUUGUUCAGAAGCAACCCUGUUCAGAAGCAACCCAGUUCAGAAGCAACC
rnacentral:lncRNA from 1 species